CUGGUAGGCUGCAGUCCAUGGGGUUGCUAAGAGUCAGGCACGACUGAGCGACUUCACUUUCAUUUUCACUUUUAUGCAUUGGAGAAGGAAAUGGCAACCCACUCCAGUAUUCUUGCCUGGAGAAUCCCAGGGACAGAGGAGCCUAGUGGGCUGCCGUCUAUGGGGUCGCACAGAGUUGGACACGAUUGAACCGACUUAGCAGCAGCAGCAGCAGGAGUCUUGGAGUUUAAAUGGGAUGCUUCUUUAGAGUGUGAGUGUUAUGUGAAGUGUAAACAGGAGAGGAACAAGGGGUCGGCUUCAAGAAACACAGAGUUGAAGAGGGGAGAUUUCUUCUUGCCAAAGGUGGUCCCAGUAACUACAGCACCUUCACUAAAUGGGCCUGAUUGAGGACCUGCCUGCUCAUCCUUGCAGCCAAGAUGCAGGCCUGGCAGAGCCAGUCUCCUGAUGACUCAUCGUCCCUUCAGAGGUUUCCUGGACCCCUACUCAAGAAAACACUGGGCUGUGCCUCUCAAGUACAGCAAUGAACAGAUGUGUCUGAAGGGUGUGGAUGGAGAGCUGAAGGAAGAGAAGAUCUUCUGGGUUCUAAUCCCUCCUCUGUCUUGAAUUUGCUGUGUGACCUUGGGAGAGUUACUUCACCUCUCUGGCCUUCCUGUUUUUCAACUGUGGAAUAAGAAGGUAUCCCAGGCAUGGAUUCAGACCACCCAGGACUGAAUCCUGAAUCCACCACUAACAAGCUCUGCGACCUUGGACAGCCUUUCAGAAACUUAGUGUCCUCAUCUGUAUGAAUGAGAUGACCUACCUCAACAGCCGUUGAGAAGAUUAAAAGAGAUAAUCCAUGUGAAGUCCUCAG
rnacentral:lncRNA from 1 species